rnacentral:rRNA from 1 species
UGCCAGCAGCCGCGGUAAUACGGGGGGAGCAAGCGUUGUCCGGAAUCACUGGGCGUAAAGGGCGCGCAGGCGGAUUUGUCAGUCAGGGGUGAAAUCCUACAGCUUAACUGUAGAACUGCCUUUGAUACUGCAAAUCUUGAGUUCGGAAGGGAGAGGCGGAAUUCCAGGUGUAGUGGUGAAAUACGUAGAUAUCUGGAAGAGCACCAGAGGCGAAGGCGGUCUCUUGGUCCGAAACUGACGCUGAGGCGCGAAAGCGUGGGGAGCAAACAGGAUUAGAUA